UAAACUGAAGAUCACUUUGUUUUACAGGCCACAUUUUUAUUAGUGUUAUCGGCGACAGUAUGGGGAAAAGUUUUAUCAGAUGUCGCUGAUGCUAUCGAUUAUCCUCGUUAUGCCUUCAAUUACGCAAUAAGCGAUCCAUUAACAAAGGACAAUAAGGCACAAUGGGAGGAAAGAGAUGGCGACCAAGUCAAUGGAGCCUAUUCCUUAUUGGAGCCUGAUGGAAAUCUACGCGUCGUGGAAUAUUCAGCAGACGACAUAAGUGGAUUUAGUGCUAUUGUAAAAAAUCUAGCAGAACGGCUUGGCAGUACAUCGCUACACAAGCCUCUGCCUUUUCCAGUGCCGCCAAUUAACCCUUUAAUAGAUCCACACGGUUAUGGAUUUGGCGCAUCACCACAAGCUGUAGAUGUCCCAAAGGUUAAAGUCACUGGUAGCAGUCUUCCUUGGGACCGUGAGACGGGUUCCUAUGGCGGUUGGGUACCGAUUAAUGGACCUACGCGCAAAAUUCCGUUUGCGACGAUUUACAACAAGAAA